rnacentral:rRNA from 1 species
AUGAUCUGGCAUGUACAGAAUGAAAACUUCAUUCUCGAUUCUACGAGAAUUUUUAUGAAAGCGUUUCAUUUGCUUCUCUUCAAUGGAAGUUUCAUUUUCCCAGAAUGUAUCCUAAUUUUUGGCCUAAUUCUUCUUCUGAUGAUCGAUUCAACCUCUGAUCAAAAAGAUAGACCUUGGUUCUAUUUCAUCUCUUCAACAAGUUUAGUAAUAAGCAUAACGGCCCUAUUAGUACAUUGA